rnacentral:rRNA from 1 species
UUUAUGGAGAGUUUGAUCCUGGCUCAGAGUGAACGCUGGCGGCGUGCCUAAUACAUGCAAGUCGAACGAUGAAGCUUCUAGCUUGCUAGAAGUGGAUUAGUGGCGCACGGGUGAGUAACGCAUAGGUCAUGUGCCUCUUAGUUUGGGAUAGCCAUUGGAAACGAUGAUUAAUACCAGAUACUCCCUACGGGGGAAAGAUUUAUCGCUAAGAGAUCAGCCUAUGUCCUAUCAGCUUGUUGGUAAGGUAAUGGCUUACCAAGGCUAUGACGGGUAUCCGGCCUGAGAGGGUGAACGGACACACUGGAACUGAGACACGGUCCAGACUCCUACGGGAGGCAGCAGUAGGGAAUAUUGCUCAAUGGGGGAAACCCUGAAGCAGCAACGCCGCGUGGAGGAUGAAGGUUUUAGGAUUGUAAACUCCUUUUGUUAGAGAAGAUAAUGACGGUAUCUAACGAAUAAGCACCGGCUAACUCCGUGCCAGCAGCCGCGGUAAUACGGAGGGUGCAAGCGUUACUCGGAAUCACUGGGCGUAAAGAGCGCGUAGGCGGGAUAGUCAGUCAGGUGUGAAAUCCUAUGGCUUAACCAUAGAACUGCAUUUGAAACUACUAUUCUAGAGUGUGGGAGAGGUAGGUGGAAUUCUUGGUGUAGGGGUAAAAUCCGUAGAGAUCAAGAGGAAUACUCAUUGCGAAGGCGACCUGCUGGAACAUUACUGACGCUGAUUGCGCGAAAGCGUGGGGAGCAAACAGGAUUAGAUACCCUGGUAGUCCACGCCCUAAACGAUGGAUGCUAGUUGUUGGAGGGCUUAGUCUCUCCAGUAAUGCAGCUAACGCAUUAAGCAUCCCGCCUGGGGAGUACGGUCGCAAGAUUAAAACUCAAAGGAAUAGACGGGGACCCGCACAAGCGGUGGAGCAUGUGGUUUAAUUCGAAGAUACACGAAGAACCUUACCUAGGCUUGACAUUGAGAGAAUCCGCUAGAAAUAGUGGAGUGUCUAGCUUGCUAGACCUUGAAAACAGGUGCUGCACGGCUGUCGUCAGCUCGUGUCGUGAGAUGUUGGGUUAAGUCCCGCAACGAGCGCAACCCCCUUUCUUAGUUGCUAACAGGUCAUGCUGAGAACUCUAAGGAUACUGCCUCCGUAAGGAGGAGGAAGGUGGGGACGACGUCAAGUCAUCAUGGCCCUUACGCCUAGGGCUACACACGUGCUACAAUGGGGUGCACAAAGAGAAGCAAUACUGCGAAGUGGAGCCAAUCUUCAAAACGCCUCUCAGUUCGGAUUGCAGGCUGCAACUCGCCUGCAUGAAGCUGGAAUCGCUAGUAAUCGCAAAUCAGCCAUGUUGCGGUGAAUACGUUCCCGGGUCUUGUACUCACCGCCCGUCACACCAUGGGAGUUGUGUUUGCCUUAAGUCAGGAUGCUAAAUUAGCUACUGCCCACGGCACACACAGCGACUGGGGUGAAGUCGUAACAAGGUAACCGUAGGUGAACCUGCGGUUGGAUCACCUCCUUUCUAGA